GACGAACGCUGGCGGCGUGCUUAACACAUGCAAGUCGAACGGAAAGGCCCUGCUUUUGUGGGGUGCUCGAGUGGCGAACGGGUGAGUAACACGUGAGUAACCUGCCCUUGACUUUGGGAUAACUUCAGGAAACUGGGGCUAAUACCGGAUAGGAGCUCCUGCUGCAUGGUGGGGGUUGGAAAGUUUCGGCGGUUGGGGAUGGACUCGCGGCUUUUCAGCUUGUUGGUGGGGUAGUGGCUUACCAAGGCUUUGACGGGUAGCCGGCCUGAGGGGGUGACCGGCCACAUUGGGGAUGAGGUACGGCCCAGACUCCUACGGGGGGCAGCAGUGGGGAAUAAUGCACAAUGGGCGGAAGCCUGAUGCAGGAACGCCGCGGGGGGGAUGAAGGCCUUCGGGGUGUAAACCGCUUUUGCCUGUGAAGAAGCGUGAAUGACGGUAAUUGGUAAAGAAGCACCGGCUAACUACGUG
rnacentral:rRNA from 1 species